rnacentral:snRNA from 15 species
AAUCUUAUCUUGGAGGGGAGAUGAGGUAUAUGGGACCAGAAAGGCGGGACGCACACGGUGAGGCCCGCGCAUUGUACCAUCGUAUGGGUUGAACCGUGCGGCUGCUUCGAGCGGAAGUAAACCAACAGCUAAAUUUUUGCGUGUGGGGGCGCGUUCGCGCGGCCUUGG